UCCGUGAAGUAUGCUGAGAAUGCAGAAUGGUCUUUUUCAGUUUAACAUUUUCCUGCUGCAUUGGUGGUGUCGCUGUACUCUGAUGAGAGGAUUUAUCUUCAGCCCUCUGUGUUCCACAGAAUCAUUUGAUUCCUAUCUGGUCUCUGUCAUUGCUUAGAGCUGACAUUUCUCAAGUUUGCAGGAUUUCCAACUGCUGCAGAAUCUCCCUCAAAGCCUGUGUUGCACAACAGUAUAGCUUUAUAACAUGGUUGUAACAUGGUUUCACAGCAUGAAGCUAGUUGUGUGUGGCAAUGCGACCAAAUCUUGCUGCUGAAAGGCUCAGCCGCAUUUUGGAGUUUGCCCUGAAUGCAGCAAAAUGGCAUGUUUUUGCCCGUCAGCCUCUCGUAUGUAGGGAGCACAGCCUUCGACCUGGGCACUGAUGAAAAGUGAAGGACCUGCUGGUGUCGACUUGGCCAGAGCUAGUGCUUGUCUAUUGUUACACCAGGAAAGCUCGCGAUUUGGGCAAUAGUUGUGCUUGUUGCGAGCCUUAUCUGUGGAGUGUGAAUGGAAAUAAACUCCUACACCUACCAUGCCCCCAUUAGAAUCAUUUUUCGCAAUAUUCCGGCUGGAGAAAGGUCUUAACAUUCUUGCACGUAGAAAUAGGACAUUGAAGCGUAAAUAUAGAAUCAAAAUCUAGAAACAUAUUUUAGAACAAAAAUGUCAUUUUUUCGGCCUGCAUCUUUCUUGAUAAGCCCAGUUACACAAUGAGAUGACGACGGAGUUCCAGAUAAACACCUCACACAUAGUUUACGUUAGGCUACACAAUGCCUGUUGCCUUGUAUAUUUUGGGGGGUAAGAGGGCAGUAGUAUACUAUGGCAUAUUAUUAGUUGCAUUCUCGGAAUUAACAGCGCGGUGCUUGCACUGAGCUAAACCAGCUCAUGCAAUGCAUGAAGACAUUUUGGACUUGGCUUCUCUGUGAAGUCAGCAUAAUCUUUUUCUUCAAUGUAAUUUGCUGGUCAGUUAGCUUUACCAGUUUCCUGUUUCACUUUUAUCGUGGCUAUUUAUCAGCUGAGGUUAUUACAUUUUCCGUGCUUAGCAAAACAAAAUUCGGCGCUGCGAAACAACUUGAACUAGGAAAAUGUACACAAACUAUAUGCUGAAGCAGCUUCUCACAAUUGAGUACUUGUUUGUGAUAGAUUUGAGGCACAGAUGUGUGUGCCAUAUAUGAUAGAAUGCAGUUUCUGAUGUACAUAGUGACAAGUCACCAUAUGUUGAGCACAGAUAUUUUACUUUGCUUUGUGUUAUAAAGUAAAUAGCUCAUAUAACAAUGAUAUAACCACCAUUAAACCAUGAACUAGUUAUAAUGUCGUCUUACGCUCAAAAUUAAAAUGCAGUUUAGAACUGCAUUGCGUGGAGCAAUGUUUAUGAGGCUGGUAGCUAUGCUUGAGAUAUUCAUUCUUGAUAACACCUUGUUGUCCUCUUUCUCUCUCUAGAUGUAUGUCACUAGUGGAUGAAGAGCAUGAUGCUGUGACCCCCACCCUCUACCCUCUUAAUAACAUUGUUACGAGCCACCUCCUGGGACUAACGAAGAAGACAACGAUGACCGGGGCAUUACUCAUGUUCAGCCAUCUUGGCCAUUCCCAUAGAUAGCCUCUGCUUAUAAUCGUGCUUUACGUUCACCCUACUUCGCACCCCAUCACAAUAUGCAAUGUUACUUUUUUUUUUUUUUUCAUGGCCGUACAUUGUAAAGUUUUCUGCAUCUUCGUGACUGUACCCUCCUGUAGUGUUCUUCUUGUACACAAUAUGGUUUGAUCUUUUUCUUCUAGGCUGGUGUAUUUUAGAGCACAGCUCUUAAUGGCCCUUUCCGGUAGCGAGUGGCGGCGGCGGCGACAUGACUGAGCACGCAAGCACAACAGUGAAGGAUGAAAAAGAAAAGCGCACGCAGUGCCGCUUGGGGCUGCGCACCGUGGUGGUGCGCACGAUGUGUCCUGCGACGAUCGCUAUAAGAUGGCACCAGAGUCCCACGCGUCGUCUGCUCACUCCUUUACAAGAUGGCACCAGAGUCCCACGCGUCGUCUGCUCACUCCUUUACAAGAUGGCACCAGAGUCCCACGCGUCGUCUGCUCACUCCUUUAUUCUUCUGUCACUGGGUUUCAUUGGCUAAGAAAGGUUUAAUGUUAUCCCUUGGAAGUGCAACGUGCCUGGAUGUACCAAAGUUUCUUGAAUGUUAUCAUUAGUUCUAUCCGUUGGCUCUUUUCACCAAAGCUUUCUGAAAUCUGAGUGUGUGCACAACACGAAUCAUGUAGUACUUUCUGCAAGCCAUGCUGGCAGCAGCGAAUUCUCUGGAACCUUCGACAAGGCAAGUCUAUAAGCCAAUGCGCUUGACGUAGAAAUCAGAUUUUUGACGACCGCUGACUCUGCUCACCGCUGUUGUUGUGCUUGAGUGUCACUUGUUUUGCAGCACUUCCCUCCGUUUGCAUUGUGCUGCACGAGACAGAUUGUCCGCACCAGCCAAUACAUCGUGAAAUGAAAACACGUUGAGAGAUGCACUCAAAUUAUGAUAUACUCAAGUUUCUUAUUAGGGAUUAUCGUAAUCAUCGGUGAAUUGUUUUUCCCUCUAGGUGCUUUCUUGGAGAUCCUUCUUUUGUUAUUCUUCUAUUUCAGCCUUCUCAUUAAUGUAAGCUUUCCUUUACAAUAGUAAACGAGUGUUUAAUUAAAAAUUCAGUUUGCCAAGGCUAUUUUAGUGCGAACAAUGCAGUGUUUAGUGAAUGUAUGUACAUUCUUAAUUCUUGUUGUUUUAAUUGUUGCACUUGUACUAUGUUAGUUUUUUGAUAUCAUUAAUAUUUAAUUGUUUGGUGCUUCUAGAGAAUUUGAGUGAUUGCACUUGGAAGUUGAUGUAUUACAGGCCAUAAAUAUUAAUUAUGCAACUGCUUGAAAAACAAAUUCAAAGAAAUUUGUCUGUGGUCCUGCUUGACUUUUUUAAUUUUGUACUUUCUCCUUUUUUUACAGCUUGUCUUCUUUGGUACCCCCUUGUUUCUACAGUCUCACAAUUGAAGCAUUAAUUGUGGAUUCAAGACACUAUUUAUUCUACUUUCUGUUAUACUGGAUAUACAUCGAGGCCUUCCAGUUGUCAAGCUGCAACUGUGAAAAGUGAGAAGUCAUGUGAGCGACGCCGCCACCACUGCAAUUUCUGUGACUAUAAGACUGAUAGAGUGGCUGAUCUGAAAAGACACACCGUGGUCCAUACAGGCGAGCGGCCAUUUGAGUGCCAUUUGUGCCCUCAGACAUUUUCAGUAAAGAGUAAUCUCAAGGCACACCUGCGCACUCACACAGGCGAGAGGCCAUUUCGGUGCCCUUCAUGCCCUCAGAGCUUCCUACAAAAGCAUACUCUGAAUGUUCACUUGCGCACUCAUGCGCAGAGACGUUGCGCUGGCAUAGAGGUAGAGCAUCCACCUCGCGUGCAAAAGGACCGUGGUUUGAAUCCCGGUACCGCGCACUUUUCCACCAGACCAAAAAAUAAAUGAAAUCCACGUGUUGAUAAAAUUGCAUAAACGGGCCUGGAGUGCGGCCUGAUCCCGGUGACCAGAACCGGUAACGCACUCCCUCACCAGAGCAGGAUUGGCCACCCUGGUGCAGUACUUGGCCACAACCUCCCAUAUGAACACAACAAUCAAACCCCGGCCCUCAGUCCCCAGCAGCUGUGAAGCAACUGACCACAGCGGCGGUCAGACCUGCGACGCAGCAGAGGGUGCUAAGAAUCCCUGGUUCCGGACAGGCCGCCAUAGGAAUCUGAACCUGGCAACGUUUAAUGCUAGAAUGUUAUCUAGUGAGGCGAGCCUAGCAGUGCUAUUGGAGAAAUUAGAGGGCAGUAAGUGGGAUAUAAUAGGGCUCAGUGAAGUUAGGAGGACAAAUGAAGCAUAUACAGUGCUAAAAAGCGGGCACGUCCUGUGCUACCGGGGCUUAGCGGAGAGACGAGAACUAGGAGUCAGAUUCCUGAUUAAUAAGGAUAUAGCUGGUAACAUACAGGAAUUCUAUAGCAUUAACAAGAGGGUGGCAGGUCUUGUUGUGAAACUUAAUAAGAGGUACAAAAUGAAGGUUGUACAGGUCUACGCCCCCACAUCCGGUCAUGAUGACCAGGAAGUCGAAAGCUUCUAUGAAGAUGUUCUAUGAAGAUGUGGAAUCGGCGAUGGGUAAAGUCAAAACAAAAUACACUAUACUGAUGGGCAACCUCAAUGCCAAGGUAGGCAAGAAGCAGGCUGGAGACAAGUCAGUGGGGGAAUAUGGCAUAGGCUCUAGGAAUAACAGGGGAGAGUUAUUAGUAGAGUUUGCAGAACAGAAUAAUAUGCGGAUAAUGAAUACCUUCUUCCGCAAGCGGGAUAAUUGAAAGUGGACGUGGAGGAGCCCGAAUGGCGAGACUAGAAAUGAAAUAGACCUUAUACUCUGCGCUAACCCUGGCAUCAUACAAGAUGUGGACGUGCUCGGCAAAGUUCACUGCAGUGACCAUAGGAUUGUAAGAACUCGAAUUAGCCUAGACCUGAAGAGGGAACUGAAGAAACUCGUACAUAAGAAGCCGAUCAAUUAGUUAGCGGUAAGAGGGAAACUAGAGGAAUUCCGGAUCAAGCUACAGAACGGGUAUUCGGCUUUAAUUUAGGAAGAGGACCUUAGUGUUGAAGAUAUGAACGACAAUCUUAUGGGCAUCAUUAAGGAGUGUGCAAUAGAAGUCAGUGGUAACUCUGUUAGACAGGAUACCAGUAAGCUAUCGCAGGAUACGAAAGAUCUGAUCAAGAAACGCCAAUGUAUGAAAGCCUCUAACCCUACAGCUAGAAUAGAACUGGCAGGACUUUCCAAGUCAAUCAACAAGCGUAAGACAGCUGACAUAAGGAAGUAUAAUAUGGAUAGAAUUGAACAUGCUCUCAGGAAUGGAGGAAGCCUAAAUGCAGUGAAGAAGAAACUAGGAAUAGGCAAGAAUCAGAUGUAUGCGCUAAGAGACAAAGCCGGCAAUAUCAUUACUAAUAUGGAUGAGAUAGUUCAAGUGGCUGAGGGGUUGUACAGAGAUUUGUACAGUACCAGUGGCACCCACGACGAUAAUGGAAGAGAGAAUAGUCUAGAGGAAAUUGAAAUCCCACACGUAAUGCCAGAAGAAGUAAAAAAAAGCCUUGGGAGCUAUGCACAGAGGGAAGGCAGCUGGGGAGGAUCAGGUAACAGCAGAUUUGCUGAAGGAUGGUGGGCUGAUUGCUCUGGAAAAACUGGCCACCCUCUAUAUGCAGUGCCUCAUGACCUCGAGCGUACCGGAAUCUUGGAAGAAUGCUAACAUAAUCCUAAUCGAUAAGAAAGGGGACGCCAAAUACUUGAAAAAUUAUAGACCGAUCAGCUUACUGUCCGUUGCCUACAAAGUAUUUACUAAGGUAAUCGCAAAUAGAAUCAGGAACACCUUAGACUUCUGUCAACCAAAGGACCAGGCAGGAUUCCGUAAAGGCUACUCAACAAUAGACCAUAUUCACACUAUCAAUCGGGUGAUAGAGAAAUGUGCGGAAUAUAACCAACCCUUAUAUACAGCUUUCAUUGAUUACGAGAAAGCGUUUGAUUCGGUCGAAACCUCAGCAGUCAUGGAGGCAUUGCGAAAUCGGGCCGUAGACGACCCGUAUGUAAAAAUACUGAAAGAUAUCUAUAGCGCCUCCACAGCCUCCGUAGUCCUCCAUAAAGAAAGCAACAAAAUCCCAAUUAAGAGAGGCGUCAGACAGGGAGAUACGAUCUCUCCAAUGCUAUUCACAGCGUGUCUACAGUAGGUAUUCAGAGACCUGGAUUGGGAAGAAUUGGGGAUAAGAGUUAAUGGAGAAUACCUUAGUAACUUGAGAUUCGCUGAUGAUAUUGCCUUGCUUAGUAACUCGGGGGACCAACUGCAAUGCAUGCUCACUGACCUGGAGAGGCAAAGCCGAAGGGUGGGUCUAAAAAUUAAUCUGCAGAAAACUAAAGUAAUGUUUAACAGUCUCGAAAGAGAACAGCAGUUUACGAUAGGUAAUGAGGCACUGGAAGCGGUAAGGGAAUACAUCUACUUAGGACAGGCAGUGACCGCAGAUCCGGAUCCUGAGACUGAAACAAUCAAAAGAAUAAGAAUGGGCUGGGGUGCAUUUGGCAGGCAUUCUCAGAUCAUGAACAGCAGGUUGCCAUUAUCCCUCAAGAGAAAAGUGUAUAACAGCUGUGUCUUACCAGUACUCACGUACGGGGCAGAAACCUGGAGGCUUACAAAAAGGGUUCUACUUAAAUGGAGGAUGACACAACGAGCUGUGGAAAGAAGAAUGGUAUGUGUAACAUUAAGGGAUAAGAAAAGAGCAGAUUGGGUGAGGGAACAAAUGGGUUGAAAUCAAGAAAAAGAAAUGGGCAUGGGCAGGACAUGUAAUGAGGAGGGAAGGUAACCGAUGGUCAUUAAGGGUUACUAACUGUAUUCCAAGGGAAUGGAAGCGUGGCAGGGGACGGCAGAAAGUUACGUGAGCAGAUGAGAUUAAGAAGUUUGCAGGGACAACACAGCCACAAUUAGUACAUGACAGGGGUAGUUGGAGAAGUAUGGGAGAGGCCUUUGCCCUGCAGUGGGCGUAACCAGGCUGAUGACGAUGAUGACAUGCAAGAAGCCAUAUCAGUGCCGCCUAUGUCUCAAUACCUGUUUACAUAAAAACCAGUUAAAUUGGCACAUGCGCCACCACAAGUGAAAGUGACUAUUGGAUGGAUAGAUCUUAGUUUUAUAGCUAAGAACUCAUUCAACUGGUCCUUCCAGAGUACCUUUAGAAUGCAAAGAAAGUCAUGUAAGGCAACUAUAAAGCUGUAGGUCUAGUAAUAAUGUCAUGGCUUCAUCAUUAAUGCUGGAGUGUUCUUAUGGAUGUAAUAAACUGCUGCAAAGUAGAUUGUGCUGUCAGUGCGAUUGUUUAUGCGUGCCCUGAGCUGUACUAGAUUGUACUUGUUUGAUUUAGAUUGUACUUGUUGUCUGGUGGUUAUAAAAGAGAGCUGCCACAAAAUAAACGAUUCUUGUCCUAGCAGCCUACGUUUGGUGCGUCAUGGAUUGUCAGGCCUCGGCAUGGUGCGGCAAUGGCGAUGAGAAACGUACUCGCAUUUUGAAAAGCAAGGGCUUCGCUACUUGUGCAGUGUCGUAACAAGUGCCACUGUUUGAUGUCGGCAAGGGCAGUGGACUUCAUUUGUCAUUUAAAUUGAGUUCUUCUUCGAGGAUAGCAGCAUUGUGGAAGAUGCACAGAAGAGAAUGCUUCUUGUCUCGGCUCUUAGAUCAAGGUCAAUUGAAGCCCCCGGUGGGUGAUGUUCUUGUAAGGUGAACUAGCUCACCUACAAGGAAGAACUUGAAAUUCUGGAAGGCUUCCAGGACCCCAAGCCAAACAAGAUUGCAGAAAGCUUCAGAUUAUUUAUUCUUGUCCACAAUGAGGACUAAUCAGCAGUUUAUUGUCGAGCCCUGCCGACUUGCCGACAAAUGCAACUUUGGUACGUGGCAUGUUAGACCUAAUGCUACAGGACAAAGUUGUAUGUUGAAUCUGAAGCAAAAAGUUGCAGAAAGGAAUGCUUUCUCGUGGGAGUUGGACCUUGAAGGAAGCUGAGAGAAUAGUUCUGGCAACCGAAGCUGUGGGUAAAGCAUCGUAUGUGCACUCAGGACCAAAUCUCAAAAUAUUUUCUGCCCCAAUUAUUUCUCUUGUGAGCUUGUCAUGCAUGAGUAUACAAUGAAUAGCGAGCCACCCAUCACAUGCACUUUUGACAUUGUUGUGUUCUCUAUCAUUAAGGCUCUUGCCUGUCUGCCUGAUGUCCUAGCUUCUUACUACAAGAAAGGGGAAUCCUAUUGCUACCUGCAGGCAAUGAAGGUAAUUUUUUUUUCAUACUUGUCUUGUUUUUUUAAUUAGAAGGUAACUAUUUGCACAUGCGUGGUGGCUCUGUGCAAGUGUAUAAAAUUGUCACGAAAAAUAAACCUUUGUUGGUGGUUUGUGC